CGUCCUUUAGCGUAGUUGGUAGCGCGUCCCCAUGACAUGGGGAAGGUCGUAGGUUCAAGUCCUACAAGGACGACCA
rnacentral:tRNA from 1 species